rnacentral:rRNA from 1 species
CAGUCGCCACGGUAACACGGAGGGUGCAAGCGUUAAUCGGAAUUACUGGGCGUAAAGCGCACGCAGGCGGUCUGACAAGUCAGAUGUGAAAUCCCCGGGCUUAACCUGGGAACUGCAUUUGAAACUGUCAGGCUGGAGUCUUGUAGAGGGGGGUGGAAUUCCAGGUGUAGCGGUGAAAUGCGUAGAGAUCUGGAGGAAUACCGGUGGCGAAGGCGGCCCCCUGGACAAAGACUGACGCUCAGGUGCGAAAGCGUGGGGAGCAAACAGGAUUAGAUACCCGCGUAGUCCCUGUCUCUUAUAC